rnacentral:rRNA from 1 species
ACCGGCGCACGGGUGCGUAACACGUAUACAAUCUGCCUUUAACAGGGGGAUAGCCCGGAGAAAUCCGGAUUAAUACCCCAUAACAAUAGAAUCAGCAUUGAUUUUAUUUAAAAGCUCCGGCGGUUAGAGAUGAGUAUGCGUCUGAUUAGCUAGUAGGUGAGGUAACGGCUCACCUAGGCGACGAUCAGUAGGGGAUCUGAGAGGAUUAACCCCCACACGGAUACUGAGACACGGAUCCGACUCCUACGGGAGGCAGCAGUAAGGAAUAUUGGACAAUGCCCGCAAGGGUGAUCCAGCCAUGCCGCGUGCAGGAAGACGGCCCUAUGGGUUGUAAACUGCUUUUGCACCAGAGAAAACCCCCCUACGUGUAGGGGGCUGAUAGUAUGGUGAGAAUAAGCAUCGGCUAACUUCGUGCCAGCAGCCGCGGUAAGACGAAGGAUGCAAGCGUUAUCCGGAUUCAUUGGGUUUAAAGGGAGCGUAGGUGGUCUUAUAAGUCAGUGGUGAAAUCUCCUCGCUUAACGAGGAAAUUGCCAUUGAUACUGUAGGACUUGAGUACAGUUGCUGUGGGCGGAAUAUGACAUGUAGUGGUGAAAUACAUAGAGAUGUCAUAGAACACCGAUUGCGAAGGCAGCUCACAAAACUGUAACUGACACUGAGGCUCGAAAGUGCGGGGAUCAAACAGGAUUAGAUACCCUGGUAGUCCGCACUGUAAACGAUGAUUACUCGC